rnacentral:lncRNA from 1 species
GACAACUGGUAUCAUACCGACCAGGGUAUCACACUGAGUGUUGCGAAGGACAGGGAUCUGGUGAACAGAUAGUGUCUUAUUUGCUUUAUUUUGGGUGUAUACAUUCAAUUUCUUAUCAUUACUAAUAAUUCUCUGAGAACAGUCUCAGACUCUUACUUGAUAUGAGCAGUUCUGCAAAGAGUUGAACCAUGAAAUGUAAAGAGAAGGAAAAACCAGCAGAAGAAACUCUUAAAACGACCUGUGAAGAAGUCAAAGGGUACGAGAGGAAAGUUGGAUUUACAAGAUGUUCUGCAGGGUGGAGCCAAGGUACUGGCCCAUACUCAAGGCCACAGAGUGGCGGACAGUUCUUCCUCAAUCUCAGUGGACUUCUCCGAUGAAGACUCAUUCUUGGAUGCAGAACUGCACGACUCUCCAGAGGAUACCGCUGAGACACAUGAGAUGGACUCAGGUUCAAAUCUGGACGCAGGAGAGAACUUCUCCAGCCCAGAACAUUUGCCGUGCAUCUCUUCUUCAAGCAAGUGCAUUCCUGUGGACCAGGACAGUCCUGGAUCCUCCAAGAGGCUUUUAAAUCAAGAUUUGAUGGAGAGGGAGAAUUUCUCCUUCAUGGAACAUUCCCAUUUACCUUCCUCCUUGGCCAAUAACCCCUCAGAGUCUCCAACAUCUACUGAAAAGAAAGGAGUCCUCAAUGUUUACUAUAAGCCUGUCCCAACGAAAAGGGGCACGGCGUCCUCGGGGGAUACAGAAGAAGAUUUGGAGCCCCCCCAAAGAGGACAAGAAGAGCAAAAAUGACCUUUCCUGAGAAGAUCCCUUCAAAAGCCCGCCUGUCUUCUGUGUGCCCGAGAGACGGCCUAACUGACAGUGGAAAUGGCCUGCACGGGGAAGGCCAGGAGGAAAGGGAAGAGGUGGAGAAGCCACCUGAGCAUCUGGCCCGGGAUUCGGGGCUGGAGGACCUGUGUAGUGGCUUCAGGUGCACGGGCUGCGACCAGGUCUUCCCCAAUAUGCGGAUGCUUAAGAAACACCUGAAGGAUGGGGUGGAGGGUGGUGCUUCAUGCCUUAGUCUUCCAUUUGCCAAACUAUGGAACAGAACGAAGCAAAGCAAGAGAAUCACAGAGGGGGAGAAUGGGAAUAUGACAACAUCUGUGGGUGAAAUGGGGAUACUGGUGAGGCUCUUGUUCCUUCUGGCUUUUG